AAUGGGUUGCCUGAUAAAAAGGAUUAUCUUGAUAGGGUAAAUUAUAAAGAACUUCUUUACUCAUUA
rnacentral:tRNA from 1 species